UUUUUUUUUUUUUUUUUUUUGCUUGUUUUUGAAGUCUUAAGUCACUGAACUUUUAUUGUGGAAAAUUCUUUUGGUAGGUCUUAGAAUAUAAACUCUUGUCAAUACAGAGAAAAACAUCCACAGCAUCCAAGUGUGCACAGUGGAGAAGGACAUGAAAUAUAAGGAUUUCAACUCACUCCUAAUUGUGACCCAAGACUCACCAAAAAACUCACUCCCCUAAUAAGAUUAGCAAUUUGCCUUUCAGUUUCCCCAUUCUUGCCAGAUUUAGGCAAAAUAUGAUAAAUGGCUUUGGCAGAGUUGUCAUCACCAGGGUGUUAACAUUUCCACACAAAUAUCAGCAACUCCAGCGCUCCUACAACACAGAACCACAGAGGAGAACAGAAAGCCAUGGAGCAGUCAGACCACACAUUGCAAUUCCACACGAGAUCUUGCACUUUAGGAACAAAAACCCACACUUGCAAGGUUGGAAUUAAAAGUCAAUCUGAAGUUUUUAUCUCUAGAGAUAUUUUCUACAAAUAAAUCAUAUUUUAAAGUUCCUUUAGACACUGGAAAAUAUUCCAGGAAAUUGCCAAGAAAGAAUUUGAUGCCAGCAGAGUACUUCCCAUGACAAUACUCUAAAAAAUCCAUUAAAUUUAUUGCGUGAUAAUUCUUCCAUAUUAGAAAACCAGGACAAAUGUGUUGUGAAAUCUCUGUGAAAAGAAAUCAUAAAUACUAAAAAAUCAAUACCUAAUUCUGGUAAGGCUGGAAAAUGCUUUCAACACUCUCAUGGUUAAACCUCAGAUGGUAACUGAGUCCCACACAGCCUCUCAGUCACUUUACUCUGGUGGGUUGGGGAGUGAAUAAAAGUAAAAAAACACAUGGGUUGGAUGAAGGCAGUUUAACAGGCAAAGCAAACCAAGGGACUCAUUCCCAAUCCCAUGGCAGGCAGUGCUCAGCCAUCCCCAGGGCAGCAGGGCUGCAGCACCUGUAACAGUGACUUGGGAAGACAAACACCAUCACUCCAAACAUCCCCCAUCCUCCUUCUCCCCACAUUUACAUGCUGAGUGUGAUGCCAUAUGAUCUGGGAUAUCCCCUGGGUCAGCUGGGGUCAGCUGUCCUGGCUGUGUCCCCUCCCAGCCCCUUGUGGAGCCUCUUGCUGGUGGGUGAGGAGCAGGAAAGGCCUUGGCUCUGUGUUAGUGCUGCUCAUGAUAAAAAAACCAGCCCUGAAUUAUCAACAGAAAUCCAAAACAUAGGCCCAUUACCAGCUACUAUGAAGAAAAUUUACUCUAUUCCAGCUAAAACCAGCACAAAUAUUAUUUUAAAAAUGUAUUAUCAGGAUAAUCAAUAAACUUCAAAGGCACUUUUCUGAUGCAAAAAAAAAAAAAAAAAAAGGAAAAGAAAAUAGAAGCAUUUUUUAAAGAGGGGGCUUAAGGUUCUGUGGACCCUUACCUUUCAUCAAUAAUUAUAUUCCAGAAAAAAAUGUGCUACAAGUACACCAUUUUUAUAAAAUGGCGCUGUACAACUAUUAAAAAAAAAUUGUUUGUUACAAGAUUUAGCAUGCAAGGAAAUUCUCAUCCAGGGCUUAAAAUGUUUCUAUCUUCCAUCUAUGCUCCCCACUGUCAGUGAGCCACACAGUUCCUGUUGUACUGACCCCUGAUCCAGGGUUAAGCACCUGAUUUUUGAGACACUGAUGGUGCACCUGGGGCUACAUUGAUGCAGAGGGGAUUUCAGUGCUCUCUCCAUCACCUGACCUCAGAGGUGUGUGAAAGGGGAUGACAGCAGAGCAAGAAAAAUAAAGAAACCAACAGACAACCAGGUCUGUCUGAGACAUGAGGAGUCCAGUAACUCCAUGUGCACAUCAUGGACAGGAAGGGUUGGUCUCCUUUGUUUUUUCAGAAUAUAACUAAGGUAACUAGAGAGGAAACUACUGAAUUGCUUCUGCCAGAUGUAAUGAAUUAAUCGUUUGCUUUUCCCCCUCUGGAUUCAGAAUUAAUUCUCAGCCUAUAUGGGCAUUUCUCUCACUGGAAAAUUUAAUUUGCAUCAUUAAAGCCCUGAGUCUAUUACAACUGACACAGAUGGGCACCAGAAAAAAAAAAAUCUGUAUAAAUUUGGUAAAUUUGUUCAUAUUGAUGAUUCUAAGUAUUAUUCAAAAUUCUAAUUAAACACCAAUAAGCUGCUUUAGCUAAAGAAAACCUUACAUUAACAUCAACAGAGACAAAAAAUGUAUUUCUCUGAUAAUAGAUCUAACUUUUCACUUAGAUUUUGAUUAAGUUUAACCACAUUAACAUUGAAGGAAUUGACUGCUUUGCUGAAUACAGAUUCUCUUUCUUAAUCCAUUGGUUCCAUGGUGACAUAAUGACUGGUCUUGCAGAGCAGGGAACAAAUACCUACCACUAUCCAGAUCCACUACCUGUGACAACACCAGCUGUCAAUUACUCAAAAAAUUAUGCAUAAGUCAAUACACUCAGAUUGGACACUCAAUUUUGUGUUAAUUUUUAUGAAUAGUAAAAAUAUGAGCAUUCCUACAAAAACAUGACCAUUUCCUUAAAUUACUGUGAGAAGAAAAAGAUUGUAGUGCUUUGGUAAUACUGCCACACAGCCCUGGUGGAAAUCACUGCUUAACAAUUUCACCAUAACUAAUACUUUUCUGUAUCCCUUUAUAAAAAUUUCAUAAGAGAGACUAUAAAAAGAUACACAUAAAACAGGCAGAGCAUGCAUGAUACAUUUUGGGUACCUUGUACCAAAUAUAAAAAUGUCUAGAUGCAAAACAGAUUUCUUAAAUUAACAGGCUGACAUGAAGAUAAGCCAUCCACACUAAAAGUUGGAGUGGUUUUAAGCAUGAGUAGGUGAUAUGAGGCUAUCCAACAUUUAAUACAAGGCCACAUUUUUAUUUACACCUGAAAAGAACCAAUUAAAUUGAUGUCCUGAAAACCACCACAUGUAAUAGUCCACUGUAAAUCUUUAUGCAUUCUUGCACAUAUUUUAAGGGCUUUUCCUCUCCUUUGUUCUUUCCAAUGUCAGCACAAUGGUUAUUGCCUUCCCUCUCACAGUUCAGGUACUGGCUGCACCUUCAGGACAGACAAAGGCAAGAUGCUGAAUACCUACACCAAAAAUUGGAAAUUGUCCAUGCCCUUAAGAACAUUUGCUCCAGAAUAACAUCAGGGAGUUCCUCUUUUCCCCUUCCCCAAAAAUUUUCCCUUCCAUGUGGCUGUUGAAAGACUAAAACAAAAAUAUGCAGAGCAGCAUGUGCUAAAUAUUCACUACAAAUCCUCCUUAAACUCAAACUAAAAGUCUUGAUACAAUAAGAACAUGCACCACUUAACAUGGAAAAAUCCCAGGUUUAAUCCCUUGAGAACUAGUAUCAUUCCAGACUUACAGUUCAACUUUCUGGUUUGUUCAUAUUUAUAGUAACCAUAAAGACUCUAGAAUAAAAUCUUCAGUUUAAAAGAAUUGCAUCAGUUUGAAAGCAACUCAGAGUGUUUUACUAAUAUCAAAGAACACAACUACAAAAUAAUAAUAUUUAUCAUUAUUAUUACUAUUACCAUUAUUACUAUUAUUUAUUGAGAGCAAUUGCAGUUUCCUGUGAUUUUCAAUUCUUUAAUCUGGUUAUGUGGCUGCAAUGUUAUCAUGGCUAAUAUAAAUUAACUUUUCUCUACAAUUAGGAUAUUGCUAGCACUGAGUGCUAAGAGCAAGGAAAGAAAGGUACAUAAGCAGGGAGAUUAUCUGCAGUGGAAAUUUUGAAUUUCCAUUAAAUUAUUUCCUUCUGAAAUAAGGAACAGACUUCUAGAAGUCUCAUAACAAUACUGACAUAAAACACUGAACUUGUGGUACUCCCCAGUACUUCCUGAAAGUCUCAGGCUGGUCAGCUGUUACUGCAAUCAAACUCAACAAACAGCACUUAUUAACAAAUCAGGAUCUAUCAUACCACCAGUGGUCUAGAAGGGGGGAAGAAAGGUUUUUGAAUGCACCAUGCACUGCUCCACAAAGUUCCAGUCCACAGGUGGUUUUUGUUAUUUUUCUAAAAUCCACCAAAAAUGCAGAGUAAAUUGUAUUAAUUAGGUACAGCAGCGGCACAACUGAAAAACAGUGUUACGAAACUAAGAUAUAAAAAUGGUCCUCCUACUUUGACUAUCUUAAAAAGAGAAACAUAUCUUUGAGAAAUUGUCUCCGUUUUCUGAUUGCAAUGUG
rnacentral:lncRNA from 1 species